rnacentral:rRNA from 1 species
AGCAGCCGCGGUAAUUCCAGCUCCAAUAGCGUAUAUUAAAGUUGUUGCAGUUAAAAAGCUCGUAGUUGAAUUUCGGGAUCAGUACGCCGGUCGUGCCUCCGGUAUGUACUGGUGUUACUGGUUCCUACCUUCUGACGAACCGUCAUGUCAUUAAUUUGGUGUGGCGGGGAAUCAGGACUGUUACUUUGAAAAAAUUAGAGUGUUUAAAGCAGGCUCGCGCUUGAAUACAUUAGCAUGGAAUAAUGAAAUAGGACGUUCGAUCCUAUUUUGUUGGUUUCUAGGAUUGACGUAAUGAUUAAUAGGGAUAGUUGGGGGCAUUAGUAUUCAAUUGUCAGAGGUGAAAUUCUUGGAUUUAUUGAAGACUAACUACUGCGAAAGCAUUUGCCAAGGAUGUUUUCAUUAAUCAAGAACGAAAGUUAGGGGAUCGAAGACGAUCAGAUACCGUCGUAGUCUUAACCAUAAACUAUGCCGACUAGGGAUCGGGAUGAUGUUAUUUUUAAUGACUCAUUCGGCGCCUUAC